UCUGGCGCAUAGGAGCUAAUGCUAACUGAGGCUAACUGCAGCCAAAGAAUGCUAACUAUGGCUAACGGGACCUAAUGGCUGCUAACUUAGGCUAGCGGGGGCUAAUGGAUGCUAACUGAAGCUAACGGGAGCUAAUGAAUGCUAGGCGUGGAUAACAAGAGCAAAUGGAUGCUAACGGAAGCUGAAGGGACCUAUUGGAUGCUAACAGAAGCUAACAGAUGCUAACUGACGCUUACGGGAGCUAAUAGAUGGCAACUGUGGCUAACAGGAGCGAAUGGAUGCUAACUGAAGCUAACAGGAGCUAAAGAAUGCUAGAUCAGGAGGAGGGCCACAGACCGGCCGAUGAUUAACAAUCUGGAACAAUUGAAACCUCCUGACCGCAAACUGACAGAUCCAACGCCGGAUUUUAAAGAGAAUCUGCCUCUCGUGAAGCCCGGCGCCGCAGUCCUUCACUAAUGGGAACGCAGCCUCUUUCUCCACACGUGUAAUGGAACCGCCGGGGGGAAGUGCAUUUGUGGAAACUGCUAUCUACCAUCUUAUCUGACCUACUUGAUAUUAAAGUGCAAUAUUGUCCCGAA